rnacentral:rRNA from 1 species
UACAGAGGUCCCAAGCGUUGUUCGGAUUCACUGGGCGUAAAGGGUGCGCAGGCGGCCGUGUGUGUGAGGCGUGAAAGCCUGGGGCUUAACCCCAGAAUUGCACCUCAAACUACAUGGCUAGAGCAUUGGAGAGGGUAGCAGAAUUCAUGGUGUAGCAGUGAAAUGCGUAGAUAUCAUGAGGAAUACCAGAGGCGAAGGCGGCUACCUGGACAAUUGCUGACGCUCAGGCACGAAAGCGUGGGGAGCAAAAGGG